AAAAGGAAUUACAGCCAUCGGCCGCCACCCGACCUGUUCAGCCACAAAUCGAACCCUUCCUCCUCCUCCUCCUCGACCGCCGCCGCCAGCGCCGCCGCCACCACCUCUGCCGUUGACCACGCCCUCCAAACGCCCCCACCCCCCGGGCUGAUCUGUGCAACCCCAUGGGGAUCUAUGGCGGUAGUGCUUGGAUCUCGGCGUCGCCUCCCUCCAGACGCUUGUGGUGUGCGAGAUGGAAGUCGCCUCCCUCCCUUCGACACCACUACCAGAACUGAUCGACGCCGCCGGUCGCGUCCCUCCUCCGCGGUGACGAGCAUGGGCGGGUUCCCCACCAUGGCUUCCUUGCCGCCAAUGGCGAGCGCGGUGCCUCCUCUCCAUGCUAUGCUCACGCUCCGUAGAUCCGUCCCAGUGGAAACUCGAUGCAGGUUCUAUCAGUGAAAGGAUUGGAGACUAGUUCUAGUAGUUGUGGUUUGUUUGAUGAAUUUCUAGUGCCCAUGAUUUGCAAAGGGUUUCAGCCAGUACUGGCGUCUAGCAACCUUGAAGCCCACAGUUGACCUGCCUCCUAAUUUGUAUGAUGAGAAAAUGUGUAGAUUGUGUGUGUAAAUCGGAGAUGCCUUGGGUUAUGCCCUCGGAGAAGAUGGAUUGGUAAGAGUUUGUAAUGCUGUUUCACAAGAGUUGAUUUCUAUAUGUGUUGCAGAAUGUGUUGUUCGAGUAAGAGGAUUUAAGUUUCGCGUGCUAGCCACUCUGACCUAUGAAGAUGGAUUGGUAGUUUUUUUGUUAACUAAACAAUAUGCCAUCAGUAUUUAUGCCUUUUAUGGGUAAGUGAUUCCUGCAAUUACUUACUGUAUUUCGUAUACUCACCAAGACCUGAGUAGGGCAGGUGAUCUUCUUUUGUCCAUUUUCUAAUUAUUCACGCAAAAGUUGUUGGAGGCCAGAGAGAACAUUGCAAGCUCAUUUGGUUCAAUCUCUCUCUGUUUUCCUGACUGAAUUAGGUCUUGGUGAACGAGGUGGAGGUGAUCGAAGAGGCAAUAUGCUUAUAAAUCAUCUUCACAUCGGGUAUAUUUUUCUCGGCUAUGGGUGUACAUGAUAUGUUUGCCAAAACACUUGCAAAUUAUGGCACACUUACUGGUGAGAGAUCCAUAUGCCUGAUGCCUGAAGUGGAAAAUAUACGAAUUUUAGUUCUUUUUUCAUUGUUUUGAGGUUUUAACCUGACCAGUGACAUGUCUAUGUUUUUUACAAUGUUGCAAGAUGUCCUAUAAGGCUAUUAAGGCAGAUGAUCUUCUUUUCUCCAUUGUCCAAUAUUGAAGCUUUUGUUGCCCAUCAGCAUACACCUCAUCCAGGUUCAUUUCCUAUAUACUGGUUAGAUACUGCUUCAUAGUUGCUCUAGGUGUACUUUGAUUAGCGUCAUCUACUUGUCCCAUCAUCGACAAGGUUAUAUGAUUGCGAGAGAUUAAUAACUUUUGUGAUACGCAUUCAUUUAUUAACUAAAUCAUCAACUUGCUCAAUAAUACUUUUGGGUACUCGUGUGGUGUUUAUGGCUGAUGAAAUACGCUUUGUUUAAUAGGACUGGAGACAUUUCUGAUGCUUAGGUCAAAACACCGGACCUAUUCUUAUUUGUUUGUAAACUCAGUCCAGUAAUACAAGUUAGCAUUUUGUCUUGAUUGUUCUUGGAAUUAAAAAGGAAACCUUCUUGUUGUUCGUUCUACACCACUAAUCUGUUUAGCCAUCCUUGAGAAAGGCUCGACGGUUGGACGUGAAAACUAUAUUUGUUCUCCUUUUGCUUCUCUGGUUUAGUUUUAAAUUUAAUCUGGGUUGGUUGUUUGCAAUUGAAAAAAUGUUUGUUUCAUGGUUUCCUGUAAAUGUUGUUAGGCACUGUAGAAGCAGAAAUUUAGAAGGGAAUCACAUUACAGAAGAAGGUUCACAGGAAUGGAGCAUCACUCCUUAGCACGUCUACAGAAACAAUGGGGGUUCGUAUGUACAAUUGUGCAUAUAGCUUAGGUGAAGCGAUUUCUGAUUUGCGAAACUCUCUUUAUGUUAAGAUAAAGGGAAGAACUAUAUAAUGCUAAAUUUUCAAUUACUCCUAUAACUAUUGAAUCAAAUCAAAUCUGUUUUUAUUCUUGUGUUUGCCUGCUAUGAAAAAUGAGGUUGGGUGCUAGUGUGUAAAUAGGCAGAGUGAUUCCAGAUUUGUAACACUCUCGUGUUAAGUUGAAGCAAUACAAUGAUCCAAUUUACAUUAUACAAAUUUAUUUUUAUUCUCAUGAUCAUGAAUAUUGCAGUAUUUUUUGUGUGUAAUGAAAAGUGAUUGCUUCCUUGUGGAUCACGUGCUGAAGUACCCCUUUAGACCAUUUUUAUUUAUCUUUAGACUAAUUUAACAUGUGUUAUCUUUCUGGGAAUAUAAAGUCUAUUUGCAGAUGAUAAGUCUUAUGAUUGUGCGCCUGCAGCUCCUUCUAUAGGCCUUAAAGUACCUGACACGCAGUUAUUAUGGGCCAAUGAUAAUUGAACUCCACAUUGCUUCUGUUCUACUUACUUCGCCUUUGUUUCGUUCUUGCGCCAGCGGCGCAAAGGGUGGAAUCUAGUGUACAAAAGAGUGAACAUGUAAUUUGUCUUCCUGGACAUGGUUGCAGCCAUGCGAUGUGCUUAACCAUUUGUGUAGCUCAGUUUGAAGAUAUAAAAUAUUAUUUUCUUAUGUAAAAUUUGUGUACCCUUGUAGCUGAAUGCUACUGAACACAUGUAUGGACGAUGAAGUACUGAAUUAUUAGUCUAUGAA